CCUACGGGCGGCAGCAGUGAGGAAUAUUGGUCAAUGGACGAGAGUCUGAACCAGCCAAGUAGCGUGAAGGAUGACUGCCCUAUGGGUUGUAAACUUCUUUUAUAUGGGAAUAAAAUGUUCCACGUGUGGGAUUUUGUAUGUACCAUAUGAAUAAGGAUCGGCUAACUCCGUGCCAGCAGCCGCGGUAAUACGGAGGAUCCGAGCGUUAUCCGGAUUUAUUGGGUUUAAAGGGAGCGUAGGUGGAUUGUUAAGUCAGUUGUGAAAGUUUGCGGCUCAACCGUAAAAUUGCAGUUGAAACUGGCAGUCUUGAGUACAGUAGAGGUGGGCGGAAUUCGUGGUGUAGCGGUGAAAUGAUUAGAUAUCACGAAGAACUCCGAUUGCGAAGGCAGUUCACUGGACUGCAACUGACACUGAGGCUCGAAAGUGUGGGUAUCAAACAGGAUUAGAUACCCCAGUAGUC
rnacentral:rRNA from 1 species